CCUCUCUUCUUCUUUCUUCCUGAGCACGCAGACACACACAGAGGGAGAAACAAAGAGUGAGCGAGAGAGAGAGGGGGGGAGAGAGAUGCCGAUAGGGAGAGACAGAGAGAUGAGACCGAGAGAUCGGGAGAGGAGAGUGGGAACUGAGAGAGAGAGAGAGAGAAAACCCGGAAAGGACCCAGUGAGCCGUGAGCCGUGAGCCCAGGGAGGUCCGAUCCUCCAUGUCCGGUGGUCAGGGGGAAAUCCGGAGGACCAGUGGCGGUUUCCGACGAAACCGUAACCCCGAACCCACCAAGCCAUGACCCAGUGACCGAGAACCCGUGAAGCCGACCUUCAGUGGCGAUGUCCGGCGCGUUUUCCGGCGGGACAGGUGUUUCUCCGGCCGAACCUCCGAAGACCCACGACCCGUGCAACCUGUGCGACCCGCAACCCAGAACCUACGAACCUGUGACCCGCUGAACCCGAGAGGAAACCCGGUUCGCCAUGGGUGUUUUCCGGCGGUUUGGAGGUGUGGAUUCCGGCGAUUUUUCCGGUGGUCAGUGAUGUUUUUCCGGCGACCCGAGUCCGUUUUCCGGCAAAAUCAGAGAUGAUUUUCGGUAAAAAGUCGAUCCUGACGCUAAUGGCAAGUCCAGAUGACAACCGUAAGACGAAAUCUUUUUCUUGUAAGGGCGUAGACCUCGCUGAGAGCGAUAGUUCGUGAUGAACCAGCCAAACCCUAAUAUUGUAUAGUAUGAUUUGUUCCUUUUGGAGUUCAUGAUUUUGUAUAGAUUAUUAAUAGAAAGGUUUAAUAUGAGUUUUAAAUUUAUUUGUUGUAA